rnacentral:rRNA from 1 species
AUUGAACGCUGGCGGCAGGCCUAACACAUGCAAGUCGAACGGUAACAGGAAGCAGCUUGCUGCUUUGCUGACGAGUGGCGGACGGGUGAGUAAUGUCUGGGAAACUGCCUGAUGGAGAGGGAUAACUACUGGAAACGGUAGCUAAUACCGCAUAACGUCGCAAGACCAAAGAGGGGGACCUUCGGGCCUCUUGCCAUCGGAUGUGCCCAGAUGGGAUUAGCUAGUAGGUGGGGUAACGGCUCACCUAGGCGACGAUCCCUAGCUGGUCUGAGAGGAUGACCAGCCACACUGGAACUGAGACACGGUCCAGACUCCUACGGGAGGCAGCAGUGGGGAAUAUUGCACAAUGGGCGCAAGCCUGAUGCAGCCAUGCCGCGUGUAUGAAGAAGGCCUUCGGGUUGUAAAGUACUUUCAGCGGGGAGGAAGGGAGUAAAGUUAAUACCUUUGCUCAUUGACGUUACCCGCAGAAGAAGCACCGGCUAACUCCGUG